rnacentral:piRNA from 1 species
UGGUGACUGACACAUGUCUGUAAUCCC